rnacentral:rRNA from 1 species
AUCGACGUAGGCGAAGCUGGAGCAACAGAUAGAUACCUGUAGUCACGCGUAACGAUGUCACUAGUGUGGUCCUGUGACUAGUACCAGCUAACGCUUAAGUGACGCCUGGGAGUACGCCGCAAGUUAAACUCAAAUGAAUGACGGGGCCGCACAAGCGGUGGAGCAUGUGGUUAAUUCGAUGCAACGCGAAGAACCUACCUACUCUUGACAUCCAGAGAAUUCGCUAGAGAUAGCUUAGUGCCUUCGGGAACUCUGAGACAGGUGCUGCAUGGCUGUCGUCAGCUCGUGUUGUGAAAUGUUGGGUUAAGUCCCGUAACGAGCGCAACCCCUAUCCUUAUUUGCCAGCGAGUAAUGUCGGGAACUCUAAGGAGACUGCCGGUGACAAACCGGAGGAAGGUGGGGAUGACGUCAAGUCAUCAUGGCCCUUACGAGUAGGGCUACACACGUGCUACAAUGGUCGGUACAACUGGUUGCUAACCCGCGAGGGGGCGCUAAUCCACUAAAGCCGAUCGUAGUCCGGAUCGCAGUCUGCAACUCGACUGCGUGAAGUCGGAAUCGCUAGUAAUCGCGGAUCAGAAUGCCGCGGUGAAUACGUUCCCGGGCCUUUNCACACCGCCCGUC